rnacentral:lncRNA from 1 species
CAUGUUGGACAGGAUGGUCUCAAUCUCUUGACCUCGUGAUCCACCCACCUCGGCCUCCCAAAGUGCUGGGAUUACAGGCAUGAGCCACCGUGCCCGGCCAAGAUUUAAUUUAUAUGCCAUAAAAUUCACCCAUUUAAAGUGUUUAAUUUGAAUAUUUUUAGUAAACUUAUAGAGUUGUGGCUCCCUCAACACAAUUCAGUUUUAGAACAUUUCCAUCACCCCAAAAAGAUUAUUAUUUUUUCGAGAUGGAGUCUCACUCUGUUGCCCAGGCUGGAGUGCAGUGGCACAAUCUCGGCUCACUGCAUCCUCCACCUCCCGGGUUCAAGUGAUUCUCCUGCCUCAUCCUCUCAAGUAGCUGGAACUAGAGGCGCCCACCACCAUGCCCAGCUAAUUUUUGUGUUUUUAGUAGAGAUGGGGUUUCACCAUGUUGACCAGGCUGGUCUCAAACUCCUGACCUCAGGUGAUCUUCCCGCCUCCGCCUCCCGAAGUAUUGAGAUUACAGGUGUGAGCCCCUGCGCCCGGCCGGUCUUUUGCAUCUAGUUACUUUCAUUUAGUAUAAUGUUUUUGAGGUUCAUCCAUGUUGUAUGUAUGAGUGGUUCAUUCCUUUUUCAAAUGAUUGUUAUUUUUGAUUUCCAUAUUUCGAAUUGGUUCUUUUAGAUACCCAUCUAAAAGAGUUUCCUUUUUUUCCCCAUUUUGUUUUAGGGAAGUUAUAUCUUAAUUUAUAUAUUUUUUUACAUCCUCAGCAUACUUAUGUUUAAGGCUUUGUCAUACCAUUGUGUAAAGCAUUCAGCUGGAUUGGAUUACUAUUCCAAUUGUUGAUUUUAUUGGCUAUCUUUAUUAGCAAUAUAUUUGUUUUGGGAUUUUGGUGUAUGGGUUUUUUAGUGAAAAUAUAUUGUUUUCUUUCUUUCCUUCCCUUCCUUCCUUCCCUCCCUCCUUUCUUCCUUCUUCUUUCUUUUUUUCUUUCUCUCUUUCUCUUUCUUUCUUCUUUCUCCUUCCUUCCUUGCUUCCUUCCUUCCUUUCCUCCCUCCCUCCCUACUUUCCCUUCCCUUCUCUUCCGUUUUCUUUCUUUCUUUCCUUCCUUCCUUCCCUCCCUCCCUCCCUCUCCUUCCUUCCUUCCUUCCUUCUUUCUUUCUUUCUUUCUUUCUUUCUUUCUUUCUUUUCUUUCUUUCUUUUUCUCUUUCUUUUCUUUCUUUCUCUUUCUUUCUUUCUUUCUUUCUCUCUCUCUCUCUUUCUUUCUUUCCUGACAGAAUCUUACUCUGCCCAGCCUCUUUUUCUGUCUUUCUCAACCCCUCUCCUUACCUUCCCUUGCCCAUCAGUUUUUUUAUUGCUUCUAUUCCACAGUCCGGGUCUCUAAAUCAGAACACAGUCUACUAGCAGUGAAUCAAAGAAGAUAUUAAGAGCAGGGCAGAUCUAGUCAUAAACAUUGGGUGUUUGACUUAUCUCUUGGUUGCAAGGCUAUGGCCUUGUAAACCUUAGGCCUACAGCUCACUAGAACCUACGGUCCCAAGCAGCAGUUAGGAGCAGCUCAUUUUCAUUCUCUCUUCAUAACAUUGAGGGUGCCCCACCACUGUUCAGGUCUUUGAGCUUGUGCCUGGCUCCAGUCUCCCAUCUCCUAUGAAGCAUUUUCAAUCCCUUUUGCCCUACAAAAGCCAAACUACCAGCUACCCAGUUUCAGUCCUUUUCGCUGUUCACAGUUUCUAUUGCUCUCUGGAUUUUGGAUAUCUUUAUCUGGUAUUUGAGCCUGACUAUAUCUUUUAGUUUUCUUUUUCUUUUCCUUUUUUGUUAUUAUUAUUAUUAUUUUUUGACAGAGUCUUAUUCUGUCUCCCAGGCUGGAGUGUAGUGGCAUAAUCAUAGCCCACUGCAGACUCAAUCUCCUGGGCUCAAGUGAUCCUUCCACCUCAGCCUCCCAAGUAGCUGAGACUACAGGCACAUGCCACCAUGCCCAGCUAAUUGUUUAAUUUUUUGUACAGAUAGUGUCUUGCUAUUUUGUCCAGGCUGGUCUUGAACUCCUGGACUCAAGCAAUCCUGUCUCAGCCUCCCAAAAUGCUAGGAUUAUGGGCAUGAGCCACUGUGCCCAAGCCUUUGUUUUUGUUUUGUUUUGUUUUAUUUUUUAUUAAUUUAUUUUUUUGAGAUGGAGUUUCACUCUUGUCACCCAGGCUGGAGUGCAAUGCUGCGAUCUCAGCUCACUGCAACCUCCACCUCCUGGGUUCAAGUGAUUCUCCUACCUCAGCCUUUCAAGUAGCUGGGAUUACAGGCACGCCUGUCACACUCGGGAAAUUUCUGAAGUUUUAGUAUAGACGAAGUUUCGCCAUGUGGGCCAGGCUGGUCUUGCACUCCUGGCCUCAAGUGAUCCGCCCACCUCAGCCUCCCAAAGUGUUGGGAUUACAGGCCUGAGACACCACACCUGGCUGGGGGCACUCUAUUUUAAUGAGCACCAGUUCACAAGAAAUAAACAUUUCUGGCUCGGUGUGGUGGCUCAUGCCUGUAAAUCCAGCACUUUGGGAGGCCAAGACAAGCAGACCACUUGAGGCCAGGAGUUCAAGACCAACCUGGCCCACAUGGUGAAACUCCGUCUCUACUAAAAC